rnacentral:misc_RNA from 1 species
UUUAUAUAUACCCAAGUCAAAAACUGGGAGUAAGAGAAUUCGCGAAUUUAAAAAAACGGAAAAUCAUCGCUACUAAAAAUCCGACCCUCUACACGAUUUGAUUGGUUUGCUACAGCUUAAUGUGCAUCCUAACCCCUGAUGUAAUGGGGUAGACUUUACAAUUUGAUUGGUGUUCUAAAAAACGGGGCAUGAGCUCAUACCCAUGAUUACCCACAACAACCGAUGUUUACUCCAUACUUCAAUUGCCUAACUACGUCAUUAUCAAGUCACAACACGGUAGUUUCCUUUAAAAUGUUCCCAAGUCGGCUAUCCAGAACCAAUCAUACGCAAAAGCGAAUGUCAAAACCCCAGAAAAUAGUCAGGAGACUGCAUCAAGACAUGAUUCGAUGUAAUCUAUGACGCAGAGCACAAUUUUGAAAUACAGGAGGGAGAAGCGAGUGAAAAGUCUCAUUCAUAACGUCACGGAUGCGUGUAAAAAUUUGUGGGGCCGUGAGUUGGUCAUGGGGGUACAGUUUGAUUAUGGGGGUUAUGGGAAUAUGUAACGGAUUGGGAUGUGUGUUUUAUAUGUGUAUGAAAUGUACAUACUGUAUAAGUAGUGUAGAUAUGCUUGUUAAAGAGUUAAUCCCAACAUAUGUGAUCAUGUUAAUGGAGGCAUUGCACUGGUUUUAAGUCAGACUCUAGUUUAACUCGGACUUUGGCUUAGCGCGGACUCGGACUCGGAUUCGGAGUAGGACUUGGACGGAGAAUAGUAUAGAAUGAAAAAACUGCAAGCACGAGGUUGCAUAUGUAAUCAAUUUAGCUCUACUGCCAAACACUAGUAGAAGAUUUCAUCGCUUUUAAUCUGUCGGCCGUUUGAAUUUGCCAGAUGCAAAUGCAAGUUUAAAAUUUGCAUGGUGCUGGUUUAUUAAUUGAUAUAGGAUGAAGUGUACAGCGUAAAGGAAAGUUAUGGAUAAUUGGUAUGCUGCUUGUUUUUUUACAAAACGAUAUUUUUUAGAGUAGUAAUAAAUGAUGUGAUUUUUGAAAUUGCUUUAACUUGUCAGACAUGUCUUUCCUUUUUAAAAUAAAUUUUUCAUCAGUGGAUUUUUUUAGAGUCACUUUUAUUUCAUUUAACAUUCAUUUCUCUGUUUGUAGAAAAAUCAUGUUUGAAAAGGAACAAAUUUAUUUUCAAUAAAACUCUUUUCAUACGAUUAAUUUUUUUUUCCUUUACUUACAAUCGACUUCAAAUUCAUAAUCGAUUUCACUCUCGCAAGCGUUUUCGUCAGUUCAUUCGGCUUGUUUCAUAGUAUCGUGGCUGGUCCAAACCCAUCAUCAAACUUAACCGACUCAUUUUGUUUCAUCAGCCACUCUUUAUUCCUUGCAUCUAAUGAAUGUUUUUGCAUGAAAUGGUUUUCACUUUGUGCCACCCAACUUAGCUUUAAGAGUGCCGACCUCCUUCGUUCCACUUAUCCCCCUACAUAUAUAUAUAUAUAUAUAAAAUCUGCACUCACGGACGCAUUAGGCCGAUCGAUUCCUCCUAAAGUCUAUGUGUGCAUGAGGACAUUUUUCAGCUGGACAAAUGUUCCUAUAAAGUGGACUUAGCCGUAUUUGCCAUGGGAAACGAAUCUUCUUCUUGUCUGCUUUCCCUCUUUCAAGAAAUGAUUCAACCCGAUUUUCCUAUCGUUAGUUUGAUAUAACAAAAUGGAACGAAGUGUGCAAACAAAAUAACUUGCACUUCCUUAUUUUGACAUUUCCGAGAUAGACACUACUACAAUGCAGAACGGUUUUGUAGGUUAGGUCGGUAGGUAGGAAGAAAGGGUAUAUAGUAGAUAUAGAUGGGCUUUGUUCGUUUCUUUAGUUGAUUGAUUUAAAUGAAACGAACAAGUCCAUAUGAUGUAUGGAUAUCUGUUAAUAUGGGUUUAAACAAUUAAAUGGAAUUUCCGCCAUGUUUUUGCAUUACUCAAGCUGGAUAUAGGGAGAGAAUGAGUUUGUACGAAAUGGAACAAGAUUAGUAUGACUAUGGGACUGGAUGAACAAUUGCAACUUGUACAAUAGGCGUGAUCGAGACUAGGAUGUUGGGAAGAAUGAUAUUAUUAAUAAUGCAACGAUGAAAACACCAAAGAUCAUCCUGUUUGUUCGUUGGUUCAGCAAACAACUGGCGUAAAUCGUAACAUUUUAAGAAGUAUCAAAUAAAUUAGUAUCUCCGAUGUUGCGAUCGAGAUAAGCAAGCACUUAGGCUACAUCGAAACAAAAGUCGUUAGAGAAAGUUACUUGCAAAAUGGAUAGCAUCUCGCUUUCCCAUGGUAUCAAAUUGCAUCAAGUCUCGACUCUUGCUCAUGUAGCGUUGUCCGCUCUAUUUUUUCCCCUAAACACUUGGAUUUUAUUCAUUUAUUGGAGCAACAUUUACCUCGUCCUCGGUUACUAUUCUAGUGACCACUACUGCUGUUGUUGCUAUUCCUAGUGUUUCCUUUUUUUUCGUUCGGAUAGGAAUUUCCCGGUGUACAUUUUAUUUGGCAGCGUUUUAAACCACUAGAACCGUUGAACCGUUUCCUUCAUAACUUUUCAUCGGCCUAUGCAAGUAAAAGUCGACGGAUUCGCUACUUAGCAUCUUAUUGGGAUUGCGAAAUGAUUGUACAAUGGUGAGCACAAAUUGACUCAUUGUUGUACACAAAUCUUCGUACUUUUGUUACUAAGUGUCCCUUUCCUUACUAUGUGCAAUUUCCACCAUCCUCGCUUCAUUUUCCUUGCCCAUCCUCACACUCACCUCCAACGUUAAUAUGUAAAGUUUCGUAA